ACGCUCGACACCUACGAGAGGCAGCAGUCGGGAAUAUUGCGCAAUGGAGGAAACUCUGACGCAGUGACGCCGCGUAUAGGAAGAAGGUUUUCGGAUUGUAAACUAUUGUCGUUAGGGAAGAAAAAGGACAGUACCUAAGGAGGAAGCUCCGGCUAACUACGUGCCAGCAGCCGCGGUAAUCUGAGCGGGCUGGCAAGGC
rnacentral:rRNA from 1 species